rnacentral:lncRNA from 1 species
ACGUUUUAACAUGUAACACCACCCGGAACUUGUAUCACUGUCCGGAAACGACCACUGUGAGGCGAACAGAAGUACCCAAAGGAAGACGGGGGCACUAAAAAUUGACACGGGGCGGAAAAUAUUUGGCCGACCAUAAUCCGCAAAAAUUUCAGCGGAAAACGGACUGGAAGGGCAGUUUCGGUCGGAAUCUUAGGAUGAGAACGAUCUCGCGCGAGGUUGAGCGUUAGCGAGCGCAGCCAGCGGAAAUUGGGGUUUGUUUAACGGAUCGAAAGCGAUGGAGAGGCCUGCGAGAGUGUUUUUCCACGGGAUGAGGAAAAAUGACCUGCUAACCUGAAAUCGGAAACCGCCUUUGUGCACAUCUACGCUUUCGGCGCCCUUUUGAGCUUUAUUAUUUUCACGCAUUGCUCUUCGAGAGGACUUUCUCCGUUCACGAGCAGAGGGAUGUGAUUGAAAAAGGGAAUUCGGCUGUCCCCCUCUCCCUCAUCCCCCUUCACAGUCCACACAACCGUCCCGGAGAACAAUCGGCGCUCUUCUUUCAACCUGCAAAGGCUUUGGACUGACAGGGUGCCCACGGCAGAGAGGAGGAAGAACUUGGUCAUACCACUGUGCUGUGUUUGUGGUCUUCCAGCUGAGGUGUUCUAGACAGAGGUUGGAUACACCCUGUGGACUAUCUGACCUUUCACCUUUUCACUCCAACUUGGAACAAUUAAAAAAAAAAGUUGCUCACCAGAAUUUUCUUGUUAAAUGAAGACAUUACUGAGGAAAUCAAAAAGUGGGACCAUAAUAUUCAGAAGUUGUCAAAGGAAUACACCAAUAUCAAGAAAGAAAGACAUUCCCUAGUUGCUUCAGUUUUAAGUGGCUUUCAACACUAAAUGGUUUGCUUUUUAGUGAAACACAUUUUGUGAAGCAAAUUUUAAUAUGAUAUUAGUAGACAUGUUUACUGUUUUAACUGUAGAUAUAGGAAUUUUGAAAGACUAAUGCAGACCUGUGUUUAUUGCAUGAUAUUGUAAACAACCUUUACCCUUUUUUUAUAUUUAUAGAUAAUUAUUUAAUCCAAGACUUCCAGAGUUUUAUCACAUGUAGUGGCCCACUACUAUAGCCAAAACUCUGUUUGUUUGGGAUGGACAGUCAUAACAUCAGACAAAUUACUCCCACACAGGCAUUUCUUUGUAAAAACUGGAGCUGCUAGCAGAUUACUUUAAAUCUUUAUAUUGAUUAUUAGUGGCCCUAGUGGCAGAUUUUUUUUCUGCACAUCCUUUAGGUUAGUUUACAUUGUCCACUUUACUGCAACAGGGACAAGUAAACCUUUACAAGUGAACAGGGACAAAAAAAUCCUAGAAACGC